rfam:Actinomyces cardiffensis F0333 genomic scaffold SCAFFOLD2, whole genome shotgun sequence.
GGGGAUGAUCGGUUUCGACGGCGGUCGUCGAUCGAGGGGAAGCGGGCCGAGAAUGCGCGCUCAACUCGCAAACGCUGCGUGCAAACCAAUAGGUGCCGAACAGAACCGCACCGACUACGUUCUCGCCGCCUGAUUGCCGCGUGAACCUUUAGUCCGUCAGCCCAGGUGGUGCCUCCAGCCUGGUGUCUGGCGUCGUUCAGGAGGCCACUGGGUGCGGACCAUGUCGGUGGGUCCGUUCCGACACUCAAUCGACUGAGCUUACUGGCAGCAGGCCUGCAUGACGUCAGGGGCUGAGAAAUAAACAGCAGGAUGCGCCCGGAGAAGACCUCGGGGUCGGCCGUCGGACGGGGGUUCGAUUCCCCCCAUCUCCACCA